rnacentral:piRNA from 1 species
UGUGAUGCAGAGUACUCCU